UUAGGUUACUCCAUAUCAAAUCUCUUGGAGGUUGGUUUCAUAAAAGUUCUGACAUGAUGCUAGAGUUGCUAAAAGAGGCCUUCCCAACAGCUACAUGCUUACCUACUUGACAUAUAAUGUGCCAUUAAUUUUCUUUUCAGGAAAAAGAAUGGAACAAGAAAGAUACUAAGAUAAUUUUGAAGAACGAGAGGAAGAAUGGAACAAGAAAGAGACUAAGACAAUGUUCAAGAACGAGAGGAAGAGAGGCUACCGAGAAUUAGAACAACAAAUGGCCAGGAUUUUGAAUGGUUUGGCCGCCUUACAUUUUCAAAUAUAAAUGAAGAAUUUGGAGGCCCAGCUAGUCAGUGACAAACUAAAAGGAAGAAGGUGAUAUACCAUGCCAUUAAUUUUCUUUUCAGUUCCCAUGAUUUGGCUGUUUUAAGUGGUGGAAUGAUAAUGUAUUAUGUUUGUUUGUUGAACCUCGGGAAUAGCUUUGCAAAUAACAAACUUCAGUACAAAGAUGUCAAAGUUUUGAUAUAAACUGUACUAACUUAUAAUUGCAUAUUAUAAUUAUAGUGAACUAGAUAGGCGCUCACAUGCUAGUGGUCUGCGGUGACAUUUUAAGCUCUUGUUUAUUGUCUUUAAUGCCAGUGUGUAGCAGCCAGCAAAAUUAGCUCUACUUCUUGGUGUGAAUUUAUGAUGGUUAUUUAGUUUAUUUUAUUUUUACACUGCAUCAUGCUAUGUUUCAUGAGUAUAAACAUGAUAUGCUUGGCAUGCAGUUUUGGGGGAAAAAGGAAGCAUCUCAUGUGUAAAUUUCGUUUGACCUUGCAUUUUACUGCUUACUAUUUACUAUACAUCCAGAAUUGUACUUGGAAGUGUCAUUAUAGUUCUUUAGAAGUGGGCUUUUGUGUCCAUCAGCCAUGAUUUUGUAGAGAUGCCAGUUGAAUAAAUCUGAUUCUCUAAUCUCGCAAGGAUAAUGAUUAACUUCUGUAUAUAUAGAUACUCCUACAGCAUGUAUAAAAAAGAUAAUUUGAGUCAUUUCUCAUAAUUGGAUCCUCUUUCUUUCAUGUACAUGAAUUAUUUCAGCUUAUUUGUAUGUAGAAAGCCUUGGUUUUAUUUUCUAGGCUAAUUCAACUUGUGCAAGAUGUAGGAAAGUGAACCAAUAAAAAUUGUUUAUUGAACCAAAUGUUUGUAGUGUUUCACUGGAUUAAAUCUGUGGGCUUGUCACUAAUCGGAUACCAUUUAGGGGACCUUAAUUUCUCCAGCUAGUUUCCCUCUUAUUUUGUGUAGUACAUGUAGAGAGCUUAGAAGGAAAAGCAAGCUCAAAUACAAGCUAAUUUAAUUCACUGGCUAGUACAGUAACUUAGCGCAUUCAACCUGCUUAUACCAAUUUGCUUAUUGCCGUAACUUAUAUCACUCUAUUUCUCGAUCCUGCUUGAAGGUGCAACUGUAACUUUGCAUAUGUGCUUGUUCAAUACAGUAGCUUCAAAAUGCGCUUGUGUAAUAUUUAGUGUGUGAUUGUGGCCUCGUGCUUGUGUUUCCAAAUGCAGAAGACAAUCAAAUGGUCAUCAAUUCUGUUUGCUUUACUUCGGUACAGGAAUAGCCUCACUACAAGAUAGGUACACCUACUAAUUACUGUUGAUAUUUGUUAAUAUCUGUACAGACUUUGCAAACUAUAUUUGGAUGAGAAGUAAGAGAAGCUUGCUACUGUCAAGAUGAUAAAAAAUGGACAUGUUCUCUACUAAAGUAGAGAUUACUCUAGAGAUGGUACUAGUUGCUCUAUGUUUCAGAACAUAUACGGCUGUUGUAUGUGGUUGUUGUCACAUCUUCCUGUUUAUAGACUUUGCACAUUACAUUUUGAUGAGAAGAUAAGCUUGCUACUGUUAAGAUGAUAAAAAAUGGACACCUUCUCUACUAUAGUAGAGAUUAGUCUAGAGAAAAUAUGCGGCUGUUGUAUGUGAUUGUUGUAACAUCUUCCUUAAGUUCUGAAUGCUGCUGUUGUAUGUAACAUCUUACGAUCUAUGGCAGCUGCAGAUUUCCCAAAGGUGAACAAGUUCACUAAGGUUUGGAAGAUUUUCAAGCUGAUGAAGAUUUGGAAGACCUACAAUGUCCUGCGUCUUGUUUGUUGAACCUAGACAUUUGCUCUGCUCAUUUUGGUGGUGGUUUGGCUGUGUGGCACACAUCUAGAAGCAUAUGUACAUCUUUUGUGGCACUACUUUAGUUUGGUUGUGGGGUAAACAUAUAUAUGUACUCCUUUCGUGGCACAACCUCUACAUAUAUUGUCGUUAUGUUUAUCAAAUGAAGUUUAAGGUUUUCGAUGAGGCCUAUAUGUUACAUUGGUUGAAGUGCGUGUAUAAAUUGUGUGAUAUGUCUUGAUUGUCUGGACAUAUAUAAUGGAUGGAUAUUACAUAAUAGCGAUGCCUAGAACAUUUCGCUAGUGAAAUUAACA
rnacentral:lncRNA from 1 species